CGAACGGACGAGAAGCUUGCUUCUCUGAUGUUAGCGGCGGACGGGUGAGUAACACGUGGAUAACCUACCUAUAAGACUGGGAUAACUUCGGGAAACCGGAGCUAAUACCGGAUAAUAUUUUGAACCGCAUGGUUCAAAAGUGAAAGACGGUCUUGCUGUCACUUAUAGAUGGAUCCGCGCUGCAUUAGCUAGUUGGUAAGGUAACGGCUUACCAAGGCAACGAUGCAUAGCCGACCUGAGAGGGUGAUCGGCCACACUGGAACUGAGACACGGUCCAGACUCCUACGGGAGGCAGCAGUAGGGAAUCUUCCGCAAUGGGCGAAAGCCUGACGGAGCAACGCCGCGUGAGUGAUGAAGGUCUUCGGAUCGUAAAACUCUGUUAUUAGGGAAGAACAUAUGUGUAAGUAACUGUGCACAUCUUGACGGUACCUAAUCAGAAAGCCACGGCUAACUACGUGCCAGCAGCCGCGGUAAUACGUAGGUGGCAAGCGUUAUCCGGAAUUAUUGGGCGUAAAGCGCGCGUAGGCGGUUUUUUAAGUCUGAUGUGAAAGCCCACGGCUCAACCGUGGAGGGUCAUUGGAAACUGGAAAACUUGAGUGCAGAAGAGGAAAGUGGAAUUCCAUGUGUAGCGGUGAAAUGCGCAGAGAUAUGGAGGAACACCAGUGGCGAAGGCGACUUUCUGGUCUGUAACUGACGCUGAUGUGCGAAAGCGUGGGGAUCAAACAGGAUUAGAUACCCUGGUAGUCCACGCCGUAAACGAUGAGUGCUAAGUGUUAGGGGGUUUCCGCCCCUUAGUGCUGCAGCUAACGCAUUAAGCACUCCGCCUGGGGAGUACGACCGCAAGGUUGAAACUCAAAGGAAUUGACGGGGACCCGCACAAGCGGUGGAGCAUGUGGUUUAAUUCGAAGCAACGCGAAGAACCUUACCAAAUCUUGACAUCCUUUGACAACUCUAGAGAUAGAGCCUUCCCCUUCGGGGGACAAAGUGACAGGUGGUGCAUGGUUGUCGUCAGCUCGUGUCGUGAGAUGUUGGGUUAAGUCCCGCAACGAGCGCAACCCUUAAGCUUAGUUGCCAUCAUUAAGUUGGGCACUCUAAGUUGACUGCCGGUGACAAACCGGAGGAAGGUGGGGAUGACGUCAAAUCAUCAUGCCCCUUAUGAUUUGGGCUACACACGUGC
rnacentral:rRNA from 1 species